rnacentral:rRNA from 1 species
AUGCGUGGACCUGGAAUGACUAUGCAUAGAUUACCACUUUUUGUGUGGUCCGUUCUAGUGACAGCAUUCCUACUUUUAUUAUCACUUCCGGUACUGGCAGGGGCAAUUACAAUGUUAUUAACUGAUCGAAACUUUAAUACAACCUUUUUUGAUCCUGCAGGAGGGGUUGACCCAAUAUUAUACCAGCAUCUCUUUUGGUUCUUCGGUCAUCCACAUGUGUAUAUUCUCAUUCUGCCUGGAUUUGGUAUUAUUAGUCAUAUCGUAUUGACCUUUUCAAGAAAAUCGGUCUUCGGGUAUCUAGGCAUGGUUUAUGCCAUGAUAAGUAUAGGUGUUCUUGGAUUUCUAGUUUGGGCUCAUCAUAUGUUUACUGUGGGCUUAGACAUUGAUAUGCGUGCCUACUUCACCGCAGCUACCAUGAUCAUAGAUGUGCCCACAGGAAUCAAAAUCUUUAGUUGGAUCACUACCAUGUGGGGAGGUUCGAUACAAUACAAAACACCCAUGUUAUUUGCUGUAGGGUUCAUCUUUUUGUUCACCAUAGGAGGGCUCACUGGAAUAGUUCUAGCAAACUCUGGGCUAGACAUUGCUCUACAUCAUACUUAUUAUGUGGUUGCACAUUUCCAUUAUGUACUUUCUAUGGGAGCCGUUUUUGCUUUAUUUGCUGGAUUUUACUAUUGGGUGGGUAAAAUCUUUGGUCGGACAUAUCCUGAAACUUUAGGCCAAAUCCAUUUUUAG